ensembl:lncRNA
GUUUAAUACAUAAAAGGUUGUCCUAGGCCAAGGCCACCCCACUCCCACCCCGUGAGGCAGGGAGAUGAACCCGACCACUUUCAGUUUUCUGUUUGCAAAACUGAAGACUGAGGCCCAAACUUUGAGGGAUAACUAAGUGAGACUAGGAUUCCCAUGUCUAAGCUGAGAGUAGACCCAGGGGUGCACUGACUCCAGACAGACAGGGAGGGAGAAAUGGGGUGCGCUGGCCCCAUGCACACCAGAACGGGGACCCCGGGGUGCACUGGCUUCACGCAGACUGGUUACAGAGCAGAGGAGCUUUUCAGAGCAGCUUCACAAAGAGCUAAGUUGGAGACCAAGAACCACCAAAUCCUCCACGUGGCACAGGCAGGCCCAACUGAAGUCCCCUCCCCCCACCGCCUGUGGCUCAAUUCCAUCUGGCAACCCUUUAAAUAGGGCAGGAGUGUUUAUAGGCUGCAGGCCUUGGCCCGGAAGCCUGAAACUCCUGCUUCCUCAAGGCAUCCGGUGGCCAGGUGGGGUGGAUCCAGGGCUGCAGGAUGCAGUGAGAAGACCCAGCUGGGCCCGAGACUUCCCUCUUUUCCUGAGGUGGAGAUCAGGCCUGCUAUUGCCCCAGAUGAAUUAGCAUCGGCAGGAUCCAGGAUUUAAGCCAAAGCAGCAAAGCAAUGAUGAGGGGAUUUCCGGCGCUGGCCAGCAGAUGGGGGCUGAAGAGAGGACCCAGGAACACUCCCAGGAUGGUUGAGACCAUUCCAACAUCGUCAACAUGACAGACGCAGGCCUGGGCUUGGCCAGGUUCACUAUUCGCUAGCUGUGUGGACCCACUGCUGAACAUUUCUGACCUGGUUUCCUCAUCUGUACACUAGGAGUGAUGCUCCCACUUUUACCAAAUGGAUGAAGGGCAAGGACAUAAUGAGGUCAACCGCCUAGCACAGAGUGGGUGCUUUGUCACCAUUUUCCUUCCCCCUGCCACAUCCCAAGCACCUAGGCCAUUUUCCUGGAGGAGUGGACAGAGAAAGGGCUGGGGCAGAAUGCAUUAUACUCUGGUUAUUUCUUACAGCCUAAGGUCAUCCCAACCCUCCCUUUACUUUUGCCUCAGGGCAGUCUGUAGAGUCUAAGGUGGCUCUGAGGAUCAAAUGAGUCCCACCUAUAGUCCCUUCACAUCCUGAGAACUCUAGGCCAGAGGCCCCCCAGAGUUGUCCCCGGAGACAGGGCUCAGCAUCAUGUCUUCGUCCUCCUCCAGCUGGCACUGAGUCCAGUGGUUUGUUAAUCUAACUGCCACCCCAAAGCUUGGUGACCAAAAACAAGCCUGUGUCUAUCAUCACCUCUCAUGUUCCUGUGGAUGCACUGGGCCCAGCUGGGCAGUACCCACUCCAGGUCCCAGAUGGGACUUCAGUCAGAUGUCCUCUGGGGCUGAAGUCAUCUGAAGGUCUGACUGCUGGGACAGCCCAGAUGGCUCCCUCACGUGCCUGGGCUGUCAUCCAUGGGAGCACCCACACGUGGCCUCUCCACGUGGUCUGGCCAUCUCAUAGCCUGGCCACUGGCUUCCUAGAGGGCACAUCACAUCCAAGGAAGCCAGGCAGAACCUGCAAGGCUUCUUACGGCCUCCUCUUGGAAGUCUUGGUACAUCACUUUCAUUGCAUUCUGUUGGUCAAGCAGGCCCAAGCUCAGCCCAGAUCCAAAGCAAGCAGGAUAGGAGUCCACCUCCAGAUGGGAAGUGGGUAAAGUCACAGAAGAGCAUACUGCAUGGAGAUACUAUGGCAGGCAUCUUUGGAAAAGACAACAUUUUGCGCCCAUCAGUCUAUUCUUCCCAGGCAAAGAACUUGUGCUAAAGGGGUAGGGGGAAUGAGCCCUGUCCCAGGGGUCAGACAGAUCUGGGCCUUACUGGCAGCCCAUCCAGGGGCCAGCCAGUAGUCACCGACAGUGCCAAGCAGCAGGUCUUUCCCAACUAGCUCUGAGUGUUUCCCCUCUUGCAUCAGGGGUAGUUGUAAAGCUGAAAUGAGGUCACCUGCUUCUUCAUUCUAGUCUAACAGCUGUUCAUCAAGCACCUGGUUUAUUCAUUCAUUCAACCACCAUUUGCUAAGACCACUCAGAGAGGAAGUCAGUAUGGCCAGGGUUUGAUGGAAGACAGGCGCUUGCUCAGAUGACUACAAAACACUGCCCAACGCAGCAGACCCAGGUUCCAGGCCCUGCUCCAGGCUCUUUUACAAUCACCAAUCUAUUAAACUUUAUGACAACUGUAUAAUCUAGAUGCCACGGAGCAUAUCCAUCAGACCUAUGGAUACCCCCACCAGAUUGGUCUCACCAUUUGGCUCCUGGGACAUUGAUGGACCAGCAGGAAGCAGUGUGAUCACUAAGAGCAGCAGUGGAAGCUCCUGAGCCUGAAUUUCUUGAGUUUUGCUGUGGCCAGGACACAGCACCUGCACGGCUGUGAGAGCACGGCCAGGUGUCUUCAUCUCACACACUCGUCUCCACUCCUCUGGGUCUCAGAGAUUCCUCGAGACACUAACAUUCAAUGAUUCCUAUCUUUCAGCCCUGGUCAACUCUAAAUCCCCUGAGAGAUGUCCAGAAAGAGAAUCCACUGGCUGGACCUCAGGGCAUCAGUUCUGCCCAGAGAUCAAGAUGGGGU